UACGUAGGUGGCAAGCGUUGUCCGGAAUUACUGGGUGUAAAGGGAGCGCAGGCGGGAAGCCAAGUCAGCUGUGAAAACUACGGGCUUAACUUGUAGACUGCAGUUGAAACUGGUUUUCUUGAGUGAAGUAGAGGUUGGCGGAAUUCCGAGUGUAGCGGUGAAAUGCGUAGAUAUUCGGAGGAACACCGGUGGCGAAGGCGGCCAACUGGGCUUUAACUGACGCUGAGGCUCGAAGGCGUGGGGAGCAAACAGG
rnacentral:rRNA from 1 species